ensembl:misc_RNA Metazoa_SRP Metazoan signal recognition particle RNA
GCCAGGUGUGAUGGCAUGCACCUGUGAUCCCAGCUACUUGGGAGGCUGAGGUGGGAGGAUCGCUUGAACCCAGGAGGUGGAGGUUGCAGUGAGCCAAGACUGCAUCACUGCACUCCAACCUGGGUGACAGAGUGAGACCCCAUCUCAA